GCUGACGAGAAGACGCCACUGUCCCUCCCUCCCUCCGCCCAUCCAUCCAUCCGCCUGCUUGCCUGCCUGCCUGCCUGCCUGUACGCAUGACAAGCAGCACACUGCCUGCCUGCUGCCGAAGCAUGCAUGCAGCGGGGUGUCCUGUCCCUGCAUGCUGCUGCUGCAGACGCAUCAGAGAUGACACAGAGAGAGAGAGAGAAGGCAGCUGUCUACUCCAGCAGGGAGCAGCACUGCACAUAUGCCAUGCAUCUGUGAAUCAGAUGGGAAGCCUUACAUAAGCUGUGCAGGCUGUGGCAGGCCAGGCAAUCUGACCACUUCUUUGACUCAUCAUGUAGGGGAGAGAAGGGACCUUCAGCUGAGGUAGUAGCUCGUCUUCACUGUUCUGAGCUCUGGACGGACACUCCCAGCUUGCAUGCCUUGGGGGACAAAACAUGUGCUAUCAGUGAGUGAGUUGAGUGAGUGAGGAGUUUGUUUUGGUUAUUCAUUUGCUGAUCAGGUUUUGCAGGAAUAUUAAUGGCAAUAGAAAUGUUAUUUCCCCUCGUAGUAGGAGUAAGUGGUUGCCAUGGGCUUCAUGAUGCAUUCAGGCAUGCUCGCAUCAUGCGGUGACAAAAGUACAAACGUUCUACGUACCCCGUGUACUUCUCCUACAAAGUACUACCGGCUGCAUUUCCAACAGAAUGUAGAAGUAGAUUUGUUGUAACCUACCUGUACUCCCAAACAUACUGCAUUUUCCAUGCAUGUACUUCUUACCUUUUAAAAGAACGACAAACGCUACACAUUACCCCCUU
rnacentral:sRNA from 1 species